AGAACCGACAACCAUGAGAUCGACCGUCAUAAGGCUACAGACACUGCCAGCCAUGUCCUGCCUCUUAAACAAAACAAAAAAAUACAGUUUUUAGCAUUUUAACGCACACACCAAGAGCAGACUUGUUGCUCUUUUUUUCUAGAGAUUAAAGCGUCAUUUUUUAAAUAAUAAGGACAAAAAAAUGUCUUCCCGCACGCAGGAGAGGAGGUCUGGCGUUCAGCUGGUGAGCGCGGCGCUGCUGCUGCUCUCGCUCUCCGGUUGUUCAAGCAUGGAUGUGCUCAUGCCAAAUAGCAUUAAUGCACUGAAUGGAACAACUGUCAAAAUCCCCUGCACAUUUACUUCCUGCUAUAAGAUGGAUGUUAGCAGGUUUGCCAUGAACUGGACCUACCAAGAAUCACUUAAUGAUACAGAAGACAUGUUUAUGACAUUCCAUAAGAAGAGAGGAAUGGUGCCCCUGCCUUCAGACCGGUUUGGAGACAGGGUCAUGUUUGCCGGAAACCUGGAUAAGAACGACCUGUCAAUCACCCUAUCAGAUGUUCAGAUCGAGGAUGAGGGGAUUUACAACUGCUAUGUGAGAAACCCCCCAGACCGCAUCCAGGGACAUGGUCUCAUACAGCUCAUUGUUGUUACUGAACUUCCCCCUCCGAGGGAUUCAACCAUCGCAGUUGCGAUUGGGGCAUCAGUGGGUGGAGCAUUAGCUCUGCUGAUCCUUUCCAUGGUUGUAGUGAAAUGUCUUCGUCGACACAGGAAACAGGAACUGAUUUCAGAGGAGAAGAUGGAGGAGGAGGGAAAACUGGAGGCUGAAGGUGUUGCAGAGGAGGGAACCAAACAACCAUAGCUGGGUCAUCUGAUUGAACCAGCGGCGUGUGGAGCUCUCACCCCCAACACCUUGACAUGUGCACCCCCUUCCUGAAGAUCUAUAGUAACUACUGAUUGAAUCAUUGUCCACCGAUACUUCCAUCCUUUCUGCAUGUGUGUGUGUGUUUGUGUGUGUCUGUGUGUGUGGGUGUAUGUGCCAGUGCAGACAAGUGUGCUUCUUUGUGUGUGUGUGUGUGUGUGUGUGUGUGUGUGUGUACUGACUGUGUCAAUGUGUGUGCGUGCGUAUUUCUAUAGGUCUGUGUGAGAUGUGUCUUUUUCCUCCAAAUAAGCCAGUGGACACUUUUCUGCAACUUAACCAUUAAACACAAAUUACUUUAUUCAGUUCCAUUAGAAGUAGAUCACAUAAUAAGGAAUGGCAUUUUCAUCACACACUAUAGGACAGGCUAAGGCUGGGCGGUAUGACCUAAAAUUUAUACCACAGUAUAGUUUAUAUAUAAUAUAAAACGGUAACAGUAUCACAGCAUCACAAUAUCUAAUUGUAUUGCCUGUAGUUAAAUCUAUUAUUAAGGAACUAUAAAUAAUGUUACUAGUGGCUGUGGAGGCAGAGCUGCAUACUUGAUGGAAAUUAAAAGCUGCACAAUGUUGAGUGUAUAUCGGUUAUGUGAUGGUAAAUUGUGCAGUUUGCGCCACAACAGCUUUUUUUGUGGGGGGUGAAAUGUUUUGGUUAAACAUCCAGUGUCUUUUAACAUUCCCUUAAAGCCAUGUCUCUCAACUGCCUGUAUAGGCACAAUGUCUUACCAUUGGGGCACAGUUACCCCCAAUUUCCACCGGUUGUGGAACGGUUGCGGAACGGCUGAGGAACGGCUCCGGUACGGCGGCGAAGUCAUUAGGUUUCCAUUAAAGUCAAUGUGUGUAUUUCCACUGACUGCGGAACGGCUGCGUUCCAAUUGCGUCCCAGCUCCGGCAGCCCUCCAGAGCAGAUACGCGGAGCUUCUAUUUUUGCUGGAUGUCGGAGAGCUCCGCAGCAAUUCAGCACAAUUCAGCUUAUGCGGGACAGAAAGUCGAGCACAGAAACAAAAUAAAACAUCCGGUUAAUUUUCAAA